rnacentral:rRNA from 1 species
AUUGAACGCUGGCGGAAUGCUUUACACAUGCAAGUCGAACGGUAGAGGGGGCAACCCCUCGAGAGUGGCGAACGGGUGAGUAAUAUAUCGGAACGUGCCCAGUCGUGGGGGAUAACGUAGCGAAAGUUACGCUAAUACCGCAUACGAUCUAAGGAUGAAAGCGGGGGAUCGCAAGACCUCGCGCGAUUGGAGCGGCCGAAAUCAGAUUAGGUAGUUGGUGGGGUAAAGGCUCACCAAACCAACGAUCUGUAGCUGGUCUGAGAGGACGACCAGCCACACUGGAACUGAGACACGGUCCAGACUCCUACGGGAGGCAGCAGUGGGGAAUUUUGGGCAAUGGACGAAAGUCUGAUCCAGCCAUUCCGCGUGCAGGAUGAAGGCCCUCGGGUUGUAAACUGCUUUUGUACGGAACGAAAAGGUCUCUCCUAAUACGGGGGGCUCAUGACGGUACCGUAAGAAUAAGCACCGACUAACUACGUGCC